AACGCUAGCUACAGGCUUAACACAUGCAAGUCGAGGGGUAGCAGGGUAGCAAUACCGCUGACGACCGGCGCACGGGUGAGUAACACGUAUCCAACCUACCGUCUACUCGGGGAUGGCCUUUCGAAAGAAAGAUUAAUACCCGAUAGUAUAAAGAGUUCGCAUGUUCUCUUUAUUAAAGGAUUCCGGUAAACGAUGGGGAUGCGUUCCAUUAGAUUGUUGGCGGGGUAACGGCCCACCAAGUCUUCGAUGAAUAGGGGUUCUGAGAGGAAGGUCCCCCACAUUGGAACUGAGACACGGUCCAAACUCCUACGGGAGGCAGCAGUGAGGAAUAUUGGUCAAUGGGCGUUAGCCUGAACCAGCCAAGUAGCGUGAAGGAUGACUGCCCUAUGGGUUGUAAACUUCUUUUAUAAGGGAAUAAAACGGGGAACGUGUUCCCCCUUGCAUGUACCUUACGAAUAAGGAUCGGCUAACUCCGUGCCAGCAGCCGCGGUAAUACGGAGGAUCCGAGCGUUAUCCGGAUCUAUUGGGUUUAAAGGGUGCGUAGGCGGAAUGAUCAGUCAGUUGUGAAAGUUUGAGGCUCAACCUUAAAAUUGCAUUUGAUACUGUCAUUCUUGAGUGUACAAGAGGUGGGCGGAAUUCGUGGUGUAGCGGUGAAAUGCUUAGAUAUCACGAAGAACUCCGAUUG
rnacentral:rRNA from 1 species